GCAUAGGUAGUUCAGUGGUAGCAUUCUUGCCUUCCAUGCCGGAGACAUGGGUUAAAAUCCCACCCAAGGUA
rnacentral:tRNA from 1 species